GAGGUAAUAGAGAUUAAAUCUCUCUUUUUUCUAUUCAAUUAGAUUCUCUUAUGAUGUGUAGGGGUGCUAUUGUAACUAAAUCCUAUAAAGUUGAAUGCAAAAAGAAAGCUUUACUUUUCUGCAAAAUCCUAGGAUUAUGUAUGUGAUACAUUGUAGGAAAAGUAGUUGCAUCUAAUCUUUGCAAAUAAAAUCUAAAAUCAUAAACAUAUUUAGAAUAG
rnacentral:lncRNA from 1 species